rnacentral:rRNA from 1 species
GGAACGAUAACGGCGUCGAGCGGCGGACGGGUGAGUAAUGCCUAGGAAAUUGCCCUGAUGUGGGGGAUAACCAUUGGAAACGAUGGCUAAUACCGCAUAAUGCCUACGGGCCAAAGAGGGGGACCUUCGGGCCUCUCGCGUCAGGAUAUGCCUAGGUGGGAUUAGCUAGUUGGUGAGGUAAGGGCUCACCAAGGCGACGAUCCCUAGCUGGUCUGAGAGGAUGAUCAGCCACACUGGAACUGAGACACGGUCCAGACUCCUACGGGAGGCAGCAGUGGGGAAUAUUGCACAAUGGGCGCAAGCCUGAUGCAGCCAUGCCGCGUGUGUGAAGAAGGCCUUCGGGUUGUAAAGCACUUUCAGUCGUGAGGAAGGUAGUGUAGUUAAUAGCUGCAUUAUUUGACGUUAGCGACAGAAGAAGCACCGGCUAACUCCGUGCCAGCAGCCGCGGUAAUACGGAGGGUGCGAGCGUUAAUCGGAAUUACUGGGCGUAGAGCGCAUGCAGGUGGUUUGUUAAGUCAGAUGUGAAAGCCCGGGGCUCAACCUCGGAAUUGCAUUUGAAACUGGCAGACUAGAGUACUGUAGAGGGGGGUAGAAUUUCAGUGUA